AAGGGCACCACAAGAACGCGUGGAGCAUGUGGCUUAAUUUGACUCAACGCGGGAAAUCUUACCGGGUCCGGACACACUGAGGAUUGACAGACAAAUACACACACUACGGUGUGUGCAUGAAAUAUGCUAGUUCUUUCAUGAUUAUGUGAUAGGUGGUGCAUGGCCGUUCUUAGUUCGUGGAGUGAUCUGUCUGCUUAAUUGCGUUUCACUAAAGGCACAUACACAUAAUAUUGAUGUGUUGUGUAUAAUUUAUAUUAUACGCAUACUCAUAUUAUAUUGUGCUUUGAAAGCAACGAACGUGACCGCAACCUCUUGUUGCCUGUAUAUAUAUGUGUAUUUUAUACACACCACAGGCUAUUAUAAACUAGAGGGACCGCUGUUACUUUCUUUUAAACCAGAGGAAGGUUGCGGCAAUAACAGGUCUGUGAUGCCCUUAGAUGUUCCGGGCUGCACACGUGCUACAAUGAUCAUUGCAGUGCGCAUCUCAUUUUGUUAUACACUGCUUGUGCGUAUGUGCAUCACAUAUAUUUAUAUGUGUGUGUGUAUGUAUUGCACGCAGUAAAGCCUACUUCGAAAGUUGUGGGUAAUCAAUUUGAAGUAAUGAUUUCUCCAAAUAUAUACUGCACACUCAUAUACAGUGUCUUAUGUCCAUGAAAAUAUUUUAUAUUUCUGUGUGUGCAUUCGAUGCUCGUAUGUGCAAUUGUCAAUUCAUGGUGGGGACAGACCAUUGUUAAUUGUUGGUCUCGGUCUUAACUAGGAAUGCCUUGUACGGGUCUUUGGUUCAACAAACCACCCGGAAUACGUCCCUGCCCUUUGUACACACCGCCCGUCGCUCUUACCGAUGGACUUCUCUGUGAGUUUGAGGGACUGGAUUUUAUAUCUAUGGAAACUCAAACGAACAGUGUGGUCUAAAGGAAAGAGAAGUCGUAACAAGGCAUCCGUAGGUGAACCU
rnacentral:rRNA from 1 species